CAGCCGCCGCGGUAAUACGAAGGGGGCUAGCGUUGCUCGGAAUGACUGGGCGUAAAGGGCGCGUAGGCGGCGGCCAAAGUCAGGCGUGAAAUUCCCGGGCUCAACCUGGGGGCUGCGUUUGAUACUUGGUUGCUUGAGUGCAGAAGAGGAGAGUGGAAUUCCACGUGUAGCGGUGAAAUGCGUAGAGAUGUGGAGGAACACCAGUGGCGAGGGCGACUCUCUGGUCUGUAACUGACGCUGAGGAGCGAGAGCGUGGGGAGCGAACAGGAUUAGAUACCCCAGUAGUCCCUGUCUCUUAUAC
rnacentral:rRNA from 1 species